CAAAUAUACAACAAUUUUUUUGUUCUUCUGCGUGACUAUUACAAUGUUUCGGAUAACAUAGUUCUUUCGACCAAACCAUAGUUAAACGACUUUUGAUGCUACUCACAACUUUUUAUGAAGCAUUGAUUUUUUCAAUAUUCUUUACCUAGGCUGGUAGUGAUUAUGAGGAUAAUGAGAGUGAUUGUGAUGAGAAGGUUGAAGAUGUAGCAGUCGAAUCUGCCACUGACCUUGAUAAAUACCGUGUGGGAGACAAAAUGGCUAAAACACCUGCAUAGAAGCUGUAAAUUCUUUUGGUUGCGGUUUCUGUUCAGUUUGAUAUUAAUCCAGGGCUUAGUGGGCAUAUGCCCAUAAGUGUGUGGAAAAAAUGUGUUUAGAAUAUGUUGUCAUCCUUGAUAUUCUAAUUCAGUUUUUUCAAACAGAAAGGUUGACAAUUUGGGCUAAGUUAGUUGCGUUAUUUUGUUUAUACAUGAAGCUACAAUAAAAUAUUGUCACGAUUUUAAUUGUUCA